rnacentral:rRNA from 1 species
GCGGCCGAUAUCGGAUUAGCUAGUUGGUGAGGUAAAGGCUCACCAAGGCGACGAUCCGUAGCGGGUCUGAGAGGACGACCCGCCACACUGGAACUGAGACACGGUCCAGACUCCUACGGGAGGCAGCAGUGGGGAAUUUUGGACAAUGGGGGCAACCCUGAUCCAGCCAUUCCGCGUGAGUGAAGAAGGCCUUCGGGUUGUAAAGCUCUUUCAGCAGGAACGAAACGGUGGCUACUAAUAUUAGCUACUAAUGACGGUACCUGAAGAAGAAGCACCGGCUAACUACGUGCCAGCAGCCGCGGUAAUACGUAGGGUGCGAGCGUUAAUCGGAAUUACUGGGCGUAAAGCGUGCGCAGGCGGUUCUAUAAGACAGAUGUGAAAUCCCCGGGCUCAACCUGGGAACUGCGUUUGUGACUGUAGGACUUGAGUGUGGCAGAGGGGGGUGGAAUUCCACGUGUAGCAGUGAAAUGCGUAGAGAUGUGGAGGAAUACCAAUGGCGAAGGCAGCCCC